UACAGAGGUCCCAAGCGUUGUUCGGAUUCACUGGGCGUAAAGGGUGCGUAGGUGGUGAGGUAAGUCGGAUGUGAAAUCUCGGAGCUUAACUCCGAAACUGCAUUCGAUACUGCCGUGCUUGAGGACUGGAGAGGAGACUGGAAUUUACGGUGUAGCGGUGAAAUGCGUAGAUAUCGUAAGGAAGACCAGUGGCGAAGGCGGGUCUCUGGACAGUUCCUGACGCUGAGGCACGAAGGUCAGGGGAGCAAACGGG
rnacentral:rRNA from 1 species